GAGUUUGAUCCUGGCUCAGAACGAACGCUGGCGGCGUGCCUAACACAUGCAAGUCGAACGUGAUCCGCCCUUCGGGGUGGUGAAAGUGGCGCACGGGUGAGUAACGCGUGGAUAAUCUGCCCGAGGAUUUGGGAUAACAUCUCGAAAGGGGUGCUAAUACCGAAUAAGCCCACGGGGUCUACGGAUCUUGCGGGAAAAGGGGGGGACCUUCGGGCCUCCUGUCCUUGGAUGAGUCUGCGUACCAUUAGCUAGUUGGUGGGGUAAUGGCCUACCAAGGCGACGAUGGUUAGCUGGUCUGAGAGGAUGAUCAGCCACACUGGAACUGAGACACGGUCCAGACUCCUACGGGAGGCAGCAGUGGGGAAUUUUGCGCAAUGGGGGAAACCCUGACGCAGCAACGCCGCGUGGGUGAUGAAGGCCUUCGGGUCGUAAAGCUCUGUCUGGAGGGAAGAAAUGAUUGGGAGCUAAUACCUCUUGAUCUUGACGGUACCUCUGAAGGAAGCACCGGCUAACUCCGUGCCAGCAGCCGCGGUAAUACGGAGGGUGCAAGCGUUGUUCGGAAUUAUUGGGCGUAAAGCGCGUGUAGGCGGUCUUUUAAGUCUGAUGUGAAAGCCCCGGGCUCAACCUGGGAAGUGCAUUGGAAACUGGGAGGCUUGAGUACGGGAGAGGAGAGUGGAAUUCCUAGUGUAGGAGUGAAAUCCGUAGAUAUU
rnacentral:rRNA from 1 species